ACUCAAAGGAAUAGACGGGGGCCCGCACAAGCAGCGGAGCGUGUGGUUUAAUUCGAGGCUACACGAACAACCUUACCUGGGUUUGACAUCUACGUGGUAGUGAACCGAAAGGGGAACGACCUUCGGGAGCGUAGACAGGUGCUGCAUGGCUGUCGUCAGCUCGUGUCGUGAGAUGUACGGUUAAGUCCGCAAACGAGCGCAACCCCCGGGAGCAGUUACACGUGUCUGCUCCGACUGCCCCCGGCAAGGGGGAGGAAGGUGGGGAUGACGUCAAGUCAGCAUGGCCUUUAUAUCCAGGGCGACACACACGCUACAAUGGGCGGUACAAUGGGGAGCGAAGUGGUGACAUGGAGCCAAUCCCGAAAGCCGUUCGUAGUUCGGAUUGCAGGCUGCAACUCGCCUGCAUGAAGGUGGAGUUGCUAGUAACCGUGGGUCAGCAAACUACGGUGAAUACGUUCCCGGGCCUUGUACACACCGCCCGU
rnacentral:rRNA from 1 species